GUCUACGGCCACACCACGCUGAACACACCCGAUCUCGUCUGAUCCUGGAAGCUAAGCAGGGCCAGGCCUGGUUAGUACUUGGAUGGGAGACACUGUAGUCUUAAAUU
rnacentral:rRNA from 1 species